CUGAUUUUAUAACUUGGUACAUUGCCUAAAACAUCCAUCCUGAUUGUGACGUUAGUGUCCCCUUCCUCAAACACCAAUAAAGUCUGAUUUCCACCAUUAAUAGCAAGACUAUGGUCCUUUAACUGAAGGGAAGAAAGACCUAGAAAUAAAGUAUUUAUAAAUGAAAUAACUUGUAACUCUGAAACAUUCUACUUCUGCUUAUCUAUUCAGUUAUAAUUGUGCUAGUACUCACUGUAAAUUGGCAAAGUAACGGUCCUUGUGUAUAUAAAAGGCAGAAGCGUGUAGCCAAAUAUGCAUGUGAUAUUUUCACCCUCAUACAGAUCUGACAGGAACCGGUAUGAACUAAUAACUGAAUCUGUUUUUGAGAUGUUUCUCUGUAAAGGUGGUGCAUAUUUUAAUUCAGGCAGCAUCCAUGUGAUGUUUGGACGAGGCCUCCCCCCUGUCGCUGUACAGAUGACCUCUUAGUUGAAGACGCAUGUGUAUUCUCCCUCUACAUCAAGACUUGUUACAUUCACCUUUACAGUGAGAAUUCCCAAUUCCCAGUGUGCGGAGGACAAAUCCCAGUUGCCUCCAUGUCUGAGACCAUCAACCUGCGCAUCUUAUCACAUGGCUUGUUGAGUGCUUUGCCACAGAGACAUAGCGCAUGUGGAGGCUUCACGCCAUCCACUGCGGCAUCUGCGCUCAACUCACCACACACCCUACUGAGAACGAACCACAUUAUAGCGACCACGAGGAGGUUACCCCAUGUGACUCUACCCAACCUAGCAACCGGGCCAAUUUGGUUGCUUAGGAGACCCGGCUGGAGUCACUCAGCACGCCCUGGGAUUCAACCUAGUGAACUAGCGAACUCCAGGGGUGGUAGCCAGCAUCUUUUACCACUGAGCUACCCAGGCCCCUAUGAACAGAAUGUAUGUUAAAGUUUACAGCGUGCAGGCGGAGUGACGGGAAGGCAAGCAAAAUCGCACUCACGCUUUUUUCAGUUUCAGUGCGGCAUCGAAUAUGGUGAACCCUGAUUGGAUUAGAAGCUCGAUGGACAUGACACUCAUUCUUUUUUUUUUUCAAUGCACUUCACAUAAAAUUAAACACUUCUUGUAAGAUUAACCAUUUCUAUUAAUGGUUUCUAUUUAUCUAUUAAUAAAAAUUCAUUUUAAAAAUGUUUUGUGUAUAUUCAAGUGUGUAUUCAUUAAUUAAUAAUGCGUUACCAUGACCCUCACUUUAAAAUAAUUAGUAAUUCCUUCAUGUUUAUGUGGUAACACUUGACUCAUUACUUAUGGGUUACCAAAAUUAUUUUAAAAAGAACUAUUUUAACCUGCCUAAGUUAAUAAUUUGUAAUGAACAGAAGAGUGUCAUGGUUUUAUGUGUUUUUGUUCAUGUUUUGUGUUUAUGUAACAUUGUU